AGAAGAUAGUAGGAGGGCCCAUGUGCAAACAUCAAAAUCUGCCGUGAGGGGAUCAAAAUCCCUAGGUCACUACACAAUUCCCCUCGAGCAUGGCAUCUUCAUCUCCCUCACCCGCCUUCUCCACCACCGGCCGCCGCCGCGGCCAGGCCGGCGCGGCGGUGCGCCAACCAGCGCUACCCAGCCAUCCAUCCGCGCCAUCCAUCACCAUCACUCACCAGCACCACCACGCGCCAUCCACCACUCCAUCUCUCCAGCGCCACCCACCAGCGCCGCCACUCGCGCGAUCCGCCAGACGAGCGUCUGGCUGCCCGCGCGACUUUCUCCUUCCCUCGCUGCUCCUCUUCUCUUCCCCACGCCCAAAACUGCUGCUGCUUCUUCUCUCCACAUCCCUGCUGCUGCACUUCUCGUCCCUGAACCUCCUGCUGCUAAUGCGCUUUGCUGAACUCCACGCCCCCCUGCUGCAUCUUCCUUCUUCUCCUCGACCUCCUGCUGCUGCCUCCUCUUCUCCAAGUCCAGCUGCUGCUCGUUCCUUGCUGCGCCCUACGGCUUCUUCUUUCAACUGCCACUACUACUACCUUCCCCUCACUGCUACUCUUCUUCCUUACCUCCUCUGCUGCUAUAUCUCUUCACCCCUCUCUAUAUUCUCUGAAUUUUCUGUAAUAGGAGUAGUAAGAAGCUUUGUAAUAUUCAGAUUAUCUAAGUGCCUGUAACUUGCUAUAUGUUUAGUUCGUACUUGUCAUCUAUUAAUUAGUAUUCUGCUACUGUAUGUGUGAGAUCCCUUAUGUGUUUGUUCCUUACUGCAGAAAUUGAUUCAGUUUUCCAUGUUUUAGCUCCAGUACAUGUACUAUAUAAAUACAUGUGUGUUUUGUGAUGUAAACCAUGUCAACUAGUUCACUGUAACAAAUUCAUGUUACUACUUGUGAUUUUAUUUUCUGUUGAGAUUGAUCUUUGUGAAGUCAGAUGUGUGAUUGUGUUUGAUUUCUAGUUAAUAUGUUAGCUAGGUACCUGUGAUAUAAAUGCAUCUUUCUUCUCUUAUAUAUGUCUGCUAGACAUAUUUGUGAUCAUCUGUGGUUUCUUUCUUUUUGUCGAUGAUGAUGUCCUAUGUCAGCAUUUAGUUUCUAAAAUAAUAUGAAAAUACCAAAAAGUACGUGAGUUCGAAUCUUAAUCUCUCUGUGCUAUUUGCAUUUUCUUUGUGAUAGAUCUUUGGGAACAACCUUGUUAGUUUAGGUUUUAUUUUCUGCAUUCAUCUCUUAAAAUUGUGUUACCUAGAUUUAGCCGAAUAUAGUUGCCGUCGCCUAGUCCCUGUGGAGAACACGACACUCGUAGUUUGGGGCGUAAAAACCCCGCUUUACUUUCAAUCGAUCAUUUUGGCGCCGUUGCCGGGGACUAGCGUCGAGCGUUUGUGCGAGGCUUUAGACUAGGUUUUUCUUGUUUUUCCCUGUGUGCUAUACAUUUGUGAUAUAUCUCUAGCCACUAACCCCUGUUUUAGUUAGUAUCUUUUUGUUUUCUCUUCCUUUUUGCAGGUUGGAUUAUCCUCUCGAUUAUGGCUUACUAUUCAGAUCAUCAGGCUUAUGCGAGCAACACUACAAACAGCACGGAAAGUGUUCAAGAACUGAUAGGUAAGAUUUCCCUUCGAUUAGAUGAUUUAGCUCGGCAGCGAGAGGUAGUUUUUGAGGAUAGGCCUAGCUCUUAUGAUCCUUAUUCUAGAGGUCAUCCUUAUGUUGCUCCUACAUGCCAUAUUUGUGGAUUUCAGGGCCAUUCACCCGCUGAAUGUCGGCGUGGUUACUCUCACCCUCCCGAUUAUUAUGGCAUGAGCUUCGCCCCACAGCCUAGCUCAUACCAAAACAAUUACACACAUGGGUGGCCUGAAAACCAGAAUAUGUCAUAUAGGAGCAAUAAACCUGAGAUCUCAUCGUUUGCUUCUAGUAAUCAUAUGCAGGGAUUUAGGUAUGAAGAGGAGAGCCACAACUAUGCUCCACAACAGUCUUAUUCAGCUCCUAUUCAUAUACCUCAGCACCAGGAGAUGUUGCCGAUGGAGUUAAAUGGUCCUCCAUUUGGUCAACCAACACCUCCAACACAAGUGCCCACACAAGAUGAGUUCGAUGACAUAGACAAGCUCACAGUUUUGAGUCUCGAGUUCACUUGGAGUGCCGAGGAUGAUCCCAUUAGGAAGGUGAUACUUGAGGAAAUGAAGAAGAUUAAGAGUGGAAAGGAGCUAGUGGAAGAAGUAAGGAAGAUUGAGAAGAACAUCACUGUUGGCAGUACUAUCUCUUCCCUCCUUGAGUUGAGUGUGGUCGAGAUUCCCCUUGAUACAUGUGAGGUUCCAACACCGUCACAUCCAGUUGAGCCAGAUAGCAAGAGUCCAGAGGAAGAAAGACCUCAGAUUGAAGAAGAUGAACUAGAAGACAAGGAACAAGAUGGUCAAGAGCUGCAAUUCCCAAGUGAUCAAGUUGAAGACUCAUCAUCUAUUACUCCUGAAGAAGUACAAGAAGCUGCUGUAGAUGAAGAUGAAGAACAUGAGAUUCAUUUGCCUAUUGUCAUACCAGAGCGUGAUGUGUCAGGUUUACUCAAUCCUCUUGAUGACAUGAUGCCUUGUGAUUCCUUUGCUACCACCUUGCAUUACAUGAUACCAUCACUUAAGAUUGAUUUGAAAACUCAUUUGCUUGGAUAUGAUGAUAUAUACCCUGUUAGUGGCAUUACUCUCAUUUGUGAUGAUCAUAAUUACUUUCCUCGUGCUAGUCCUAUGCUUAAUGAAACAUAUCAUUCUUAUGCUAGUCUUGAGCUUAAUGAAAAAUAUCAUCCUCAUGUUAAUGUUGACUUUGCUCAUUUCUACCAUUCUAAACAUGUGCUUUAUAGCUAUGCUUAUGUAAUUGGGUACUCUAUUGAUGAUUUAGAGGGCAUCGACCGUAUCACUUGUAGUUGUUUGUGUGAGUCCUAUUUCAGGCUUUUGCUACUGCACUGUUUACUACAUGCUGACCAGGUUCGAGGUGACAUUCCUUGGGAUCCUGGUGGAGUCAGAGCUUGGCGAUGAGGAGAAGCAAGGGGCACAUACGAAGAAGAGUGAAGCUGGAGCAUGCAUGAGGAUAGGGAAGCAGUAGGAGAGGAGUCACAAUGAACGAGGAAGCAAGGGAGAAGAGAUGCAGUUGGUGAGGUGAUCGAGCGAGUGCUACUUCCUAUGAAAACCCGGUGAGCUGUUUCAUGACCCAUUCCAUCAUCCAUUGAUACAUGCUGAAAUCAAAUGUUAUCUGGGUUGCUUAAGCCAUGUCUUAAAUGUUGCCCCACUGAAUUUUACUUGACAUAUGGUGCUUGAUGAGAAUAUGUGAACUGAGUGUUGAAUGCCUGGUAAACUAGUGAUCUAUGCAAUGCUUGCUUUGCUGAAAUUAGUGAAAGUUAUUAGUUUUGAGUGCUCAAAUACCUAGUACACUAGAAAACUUGAUCAUUUUCUGCUUUUACCUUGAUACACCUAGAUCACCAUGUUUAGAUGCUGAAUUUGUGCUAAGUGUGUUCCCAUUGAGAGCAAUCACCUAACCACUAUGGAUUAGCAUGAUAUGUUCCCUGGAUCGGUAGCAUGUGAACCAGACAUGGAGAAGUGAUGAUUCCUGUUUUUGUGCUUAUGCGUUGUUCAUUUAAGAUAAGUAAUAAUGAAUAAAUAAGUCUGACUACCUACAGUAGCAUGUCAUGUUCCCGGAAUCGGUGGCAUGUGAAAUCGGGUUAGCUUGGGCAGUAAUUAAUAAUAAAAAAUGUAAUUGUCGAACCAGGUGUAUACCAUGUUCUCGGGAUCGGUGGUAUGUUCCUUUGGGGAGACAAACAAAAAAAAAACUAAUAAUUGGUCGAGCCAGGUGUAUACCAUGUUCUCGGGAUUGGUGGUAUGUUCCUAUGGUGAGACUAAUAAUAAUAUAAUCAUUGCUUUAUCUCUGUAAAUAAGUGAUUUGAUCACAAGAUUUAAUUCCAGUUCAUUUUGUUCUUGGGAUCAUGGUCUCUUUAGGAACCAUUUGGCGCAGUCAUCAUUUAAACUUGUUGAUCCUCUUUUAUCUCUGUAAAAGUUUAAAAUGGUCAUGCUUACUAGUAUCCUACUGCUUUGUAGCACUCCUAACCAUUAAUUUUCACUAGCUAAGUCUGAAGCAUGCCUUGUUUGGAGAUCUAUUUUACCAGGACAUUCCUUACUCAGAUUACUGUUCAUUAUCUUGCCUUUGUCAUAUUCCUUUGCUUGAGGACAAGCAAAUAUUUAAGUGUGGGGGAACUUGAUAAGUGCAUUUCAUAUAUAUAUAAUUUGGCACUCAAAUUUAGCAUCUAUCGUGAUAUAUCCAUCCAUUCUUGCUAUGAGUUGUGAUAUAUUUGAAUGAAAAUCAUAUAAAAGAUCAUUUACUUGUCAUUUGUUUCUUUUGCAGAAAAGUGCGCAAGGCACUAUAAUCAUCAAGAUUUCUACUAUGUGGCUAACGAGAAGAGAGAAGGGCUUGUGUGUGACGACAAGAAGUAACCAAAGGGGCUACCUAAAGAGGAGAGGGGAUCUACUUGGGAAGGAAGAAGAUAGUAGGAGGGCCCAUGUGCAAACAUCAAAAUCUGCCGUGAGGGGAUCAAAAUCCCUAGGUCACUACACAAUUCCCCUCGAGCCUGGCAUCUUCAUCUCCCUCACCCGCCUUCUCCACCACCGGCCGCCGCCGCGGCGGUGCGCCAACCAGCGCUACCCAGCCAUCCAUCCGCGCCAUCCAUCACCAUCACUCACCAGCACAACCACGCGCCAUCCACCACUCCAUCUCUCCAGCGCCACCCACCAGCGCCGCCACUCGCGCGAUCCGCCAGACGAGCGUCUGGCUGCCCGCGCGACUUUCUCCUUCCCUCGCUGCUCCUCUUCUCUUCCCCACGCCCAAAACUGCUGCUGCUUCUUCUCUCCACAUCCCUGCUGCUGCACUUCUCGUCCCUGAACCUCCUGCUGCUAAUGCGCUUUGCUGAACUCCACGCCCCCUGCUGCAUCUUCCUUCUUCUCCUCGACCUCCUGCUGCUGCCUCCUCUUCUCCAAGUCCAGCUGCUGCUCCUUCCUUGCUGGGCCCUACGGCUUCUUCUUUCAACUGCCACUACUACUCCCUUCCCCUCACUGCUACUCUUCUUCCUUACCUCCUCUGCUGCUAUAUCUCUUCUCCCCUCUCUAUAUUCUCUGAAUUUUCUGUAAUAGGAGUAGUAAGAAGCUUUGUAAUAUUCAGAUUAUCUAAGUGCCUGUAACCUGCUAUAUGUUUAGUUUGUACUUGUCAUCUAUUAAUUAGUAUUCUGCUACUGUAUGUGUGAGAUCCCUUAUGUGUUUGUUCCUUACUGCAGAAAUUGAUUCAGUUUUCCAUGUUUUAGCUCCAG
rnacentral:rRNA from 1 species